rnacentral:rRNA from 1 species
UUUCGCUGACGAGUGGCGGACGGGUGAGUAAUGUCUGGGAAACUGCCUGAUGGAGGGGGAUAACUACUGGAAACGGUAGCUAAUACCGCAUAACGUCGCAAGACCAAAGAGGGGGACCUUCGGGCCUCUUGCCAUCGGAUGUGCCCAGAUGGGAUUAGCUAGUAGGUGGGGUAACGGCUCACCUAGGCGACGAUCCCUAGCUGGUCUGAGAGGAUGACCAGCCACACUGGAACUGAGACACGGUCCAGACUCCUACGGGAGGCAGCAGUGGGGAAUAUUGCACAAUGGGCGCAAGCCUGAUGCAGCCAUGCCGCGUGUAUGAAGAAGGCCUUCGGGUUGUAAAGUACUUUCAGCGGGGAGGAAGGGAGUAAAGUUAAUACCUUUACUCAUUGACGUUACCCGCAGAAGAAGCACCGGCUAACUCCGUGCCAGCAGCCGCGGUAAUACGGAGGGUGCAAGCGUUAAUCGGAAUUACUGGGCGUAAAGCGCACGCAGGCGGUUUGUUAAGUCAGAUGUGAAAUCCCCGGGCUCAACCUGGGAACUGCAUCUGAUACUGGCAAGCUUG